ACGAAGGGUGCAAGCGUUAAUCGGAAUUACUGGGCGUAAAGGGCGCGUAGGCGGAUCGUUUAGUCAGAGGUGAAAUCCCAGGGCUCAACCUGGGAACUGCAUCCAAAACUGGCGAGCUAGAGUAUGGCAGAGGGUGGUGGAAUUUCCUGUGUAGCGGUGAAAUGCGUAGAUAUAGGAAGGAACACCAGUGGCGAAGGCGACCACCUGGGCUAAUACUGACACUGAGGUGCGAAAGCGUGGGGAGCAAACA
rnacentral:rRNA from 1 species